rnacentral:rRNA from 1 species
GUAGGUGGCAAGCGUUGUCCGGAAUUAUUGGGCGUAAAGCGCGCGCAGGUGGGGUCUUUAAGUCUGAUGUGAAAGCCCCCGGGCUCAACCGGGGAGGGUCAUUGGAAACUGGGGAACUUGAGUGCAGGAGAGGAAAGUGGAAUUCCACGUGUAGCGGUGAAAUGCGUAGAUAUGUGGAGGAACACCAGUGGCGAAGGCGACUUUCUGGCCUGUAACUGACACUGAGGCGCGAAAGCGUGGGGAGCAAACAGGAUUAGAUACCCUGGUAGUCCACGCCGUAAACGAUGAGUGCUAAGUGUUGGGGGGUUUCCGCCCCUCAGUGCUGCAGCUAACGCAUUAAGCACUCCGCCUGGGUAGUACGGUCGCAAGACUG